CCCUGCAUCAUGCUGCUCAUGUUCAGUUCACACUUAGCCAGACACGCACGGGUCCAGGAUGACAGCAAGCUGACCUGCAUGACAGAACAUUAUAGCCCCCCUGCCAAAAAAAUCUAUCAAGUUCACGAGGCCCAACCAAACCUUACCCACGCUAGCUGUGGCUCUGUGACUAAACUCUGGCCAAUGAGAUGUCAAAGAAUGUCUUACGUGGGACUUGCUGGAAGUUUCCUUAAGAGGUAAUGAGACUCCUGUUUGUUCCUUCCUCCUCCCUGCUUCUUGAGGGAGGAAUGCGCACAGAAUGACAAGAGCACAAGCUGCCAUCUUGAAUCAUGAGAAAAUAUGCUAAGAAUGUCAGAGCUACAAAGAGAGGGAACCAGGGUUCCUCAUGACACCAUGAAAUUAUCACACCAGCCCUGCAAUACUUCCAUACUCCUUUUAUGUGAGAGAAAUAAAUCUCUACAAUGCUAAGUCA
rnacentral:lncRNA from 10 species